UGCAACCUCCGCCUCCUGGGUUCAAGAAAUUCUCCUGUCUCAGCCUCCCAAGUUGCUGGGACUACAGGUGCAUGCCACCACGCCUGGCUAAUUUUUUUUUUUUUUUGUAUUUUUAGUAAAGAUGGAGUUUCACCAUUUUGGUCAGGGUGGUCUCGAACUUCUGACCUCAGGUGAUCCACCCACCUUGGUCUCCCAAAGUGCUGAGAUUACAGGCGUGAGCCACCUCACCUGGCUAGAUUUUCCUUUCUUACUUCUGUUGCCUCAUCCAGCACCACUGUCCAAGGGUUUAUAGUGCUUUGCCCACCAUGAUGGGAACCCGUAAAACAUUGUAUUGGCUCAAGGGAUCCACUUAACAGUAAAGGAGGUAUGUCAGUAGGACACUUUACCAUGGGAUCCAUAGGUCCUAUUGUAUUCCAUGCUACCCGGAGACAUCUGGCCUGACAGUAAUGGGAUGGCCUUUGAAAGCCAGCUGAGACACCAGCUUAGAGUUAAUAGAUGGCAUCCUACAGAAUGCAGUAUAUACCCUAAAUCAGUGCCCGUUAUAUAGUGCUGUGUCCCUAAAACGGUAGAAUAUGUGAGUCUGGGAACCAAAGGGUAGAAGUAGGAGUGGCUGUUUAUCAUCCCUCCCAACAGCUCAUUUAGGGAAUUUGUGCUUCUAGGUUCUGUGGCUCUAGAAGUCUUCAUUCCCAGAGGGAAAAUAUUUCCACCAGGGGACACAAGAGUUCUAGUAAACUGUCAGUCACAUUAGGUACUUUAUACCAGGAUACCAGCAGGCAAGGAAAUGAGUCAUCAUCCUGUCAGGAGGAAUUGCCCUCAUCAGGAGGAGAUAGGACUGCUGUCACAUGAUGGAGGCAGGGAAGAGUAAGUCUGGCACCCAAGUAAUCCACUGGGGUUUCUCUUGAUAUUCCCCUGUCAAUCUUUUUUUUGAGACAGAGUCUCACUCUGUCAUCCAGGCUGGAGUGCGGUGGCAUGAUCUCGGCCCACUGCAACCUCCACCCGCCAGGUUCAAGCAAUUCUCCUGCCUCAGCCUCUCAAGUAGCUGGGAUUACAGGCAUCUGCCACCACACCUGGCUAAUUUUUGUAUUUUUUGUAGAGACGGAGUUUCACCAUGUUGGCCAGGUUAGUCUUGAAAUCCCGAUCUCAAGUGAUCCACCCACCUUGGCCUCCCAAAGUGCUGGGAUUACAGGUGUGAGCCACUGCACCUGGCAUCCCCUGCUCAAUCUUGACAGUAACGGACAAAUGCAGCAUCACAGUUGGAGAAAGAAAGAUAUAAUAAUCAGGGACUCCUACUGCUCAUGGAAAAGGAUCAGGGUCCAUCUCUCAGAUAGGCCAGUUAGACCAGAAGAGGUGCUGGUUGAGGGUGGAGGUAAUCUGGAAUGGGCAGUAGAGAAGGAAGAUGAUGAGUAUUGAUUGUGACCUUGACACCAGCUGUGGUAUUGGUGGGGGCAAGGAUGUGGUUCAUCCCACUGUCUUUACAAGUUUCCUUAGGAAAAGAGACCAAUAAGAACACUGAAGGAGCUCUUCCAAGAUGGAGUGAACUUAUUCUAUGAAACAAGUGGACUCAAAAGGUGCAAGGAGUGCACUGUAGUGGGUGCUGUGGUGAGUUGCCCAGAUUCUCUUUUCAGGAUGGAGGCCCUCAUUUACCCAGCUGCCGGGAGUGUUGGCAGCUGACGGUUCUCAGCUGAGUCAUUCUCUGGAAAUUUCUUUCAGCUAAAGAGAACCACCUUGCCCAACCAAGGUCACACCUUGGGGGCAGUCACAUCCAAUGACUGCUUGAUGAGAGGGCCCACCCUGAAGCUAAUUCCAGCUCCAGAGGUCCCUGUAAGGCUCAGCUGAGGCUUCUGUCGAAUUGCACUGCAGAUCGACUCAAUCCUACUUCUGUUCCCUCUAAGAUCUCCCCUUAAUAAACCUCUUGUAUGCAGAUUUCAGAAUCUCAGGGCCUGUUUCCUGAGGAAGCUGACCUACAACACAAGGUCUGCAUGCAGAUGGAGUUUGUGGUUCAGCAUUUCUUACAACAUCGCAGUUCUUUGUAUGGAAAUACGCUUUCAUUUAUUUUGGGAAAACACCUUGGAGUAGGAUUGCUGAGUUGUAUGGAAAAUGUAUGCCCAACUUCCGAAGGAGAUGGCACACUGUCUUCCAAAGAGAAUAUACUAUUUGCUUUCCCAUCAGCAAUGUCUAAGAGUUCCAGUUGCUCUACAUCCUCCCCAGGACUUGGUAUUGUAGAUGUUGAAUAUCCCAGAACCAUUUGUUGAAGAGACUAUCUUUUUCCUAUUGAAUUAUUUUGGAACUUUGUUAAAAAGCAAUAGAUCAGGUGGGGCAUGGUGGCUCAAGCCUGUAAUCCCAGCACUUCGGAGCCCAAGGUAGGCAGAUUACUUAAGGUCAGGAGUUGGAGACCAGCCUGGCCAACAUGGUGAAAUCCCAUUUCUACUGAAAAAAAAAAAACAAAAAUUAGUCAGGAGUGGUUGUGGGUGCCUGUAAUCCCAGCCACUCAGGAGUCUGAGGCAGGAGAAUCACUUGAACCCAGGAGGUGGAGGUUGCAGUGAACCAAGAUCACACCACUGCCCUCCACCAUGGGUAACACAGCAAGACCCUCUCUCAGAAAAAAAAAAAAAAAAAAAAGGACCAUAGAUGUGUGGGUCUAUUCCUGGAUUCCCAAUUCUGUUCCAUGGAUCUAUAUCUACCCUUAUAUCAAUACCACACUGUCUUGAUCACUGUCCAGCUUUAUAGUAAGUCUUGUGAUCAAGUAGUGUGAGUCCUUCAACUUUGUUCUUUUUUAAUCAAAAUUGUUUUAGCUAUUCCAGGUACUUUGCUUUUCCAUAUAAAUUUUUAAAUCAGCUUAUCAAUUUCUACCAAAAAAGCCCACUAAGAUUUUAAUUGGAAUUGCACUGAAUCUAUAGAUCAAUUCAAAUGUGAAUAUUGAAUCUUCCAGUCUUUGAAC